rnacentral:rRNA from 1 species
GAUCCAGACUUUGAUCAUGGCUCAGGAUGAACGCUGGCGGCGUGCCUAACACAUGCAAGUCGAACGAAGCUUGACGGAUGAUUUCUUCGGAAUGAAACCUGAUAUGACUUAGUGGCGGACGGGUGAGUAACACGUGAGCAACCUGCCUUUCAGAGGGGGAUAACGGCUGGAAACGGUCGCUAAUACCGCAUGAUGUGUUCGGAUGGCAUCAUCUGAACAUCAAAGAUUUAUCGCCGAAAGAUGGGCUCGCGUCUGAUUAGAUAGUUGGUGGGGUAACGGCCUACCAAGUCAACGAUCAGUAGCCGGACUGAGAGGUUGAACGGCCACAUUGGGACUGAGAUACGGCCCAGACUCCUACGGGAGGCAGCAGUGGGGAAUAUUGCACAAUGGGGGAAACCCUGAUGCAGCAACGCCGCGUGAAGGAUGACGGUUUUCGGAUUGUAAGCUUCUUUUCUUAGUGACGAAGACAGUGACGGUAGCUAAGGAAUAAGCAUCGGCUAACUACGUGCCAGCAGCCGCGGUAAUACGUAGGAUGCAAGCGUUAUCCGGAUUUACUGGGUGUAAAGGGAGCGCAGGCGGGACUGCAAGUUGGAUGUGAAAUACCGUGGCUUAACCACGGAACUGCAUCCAAAACUGUAGUUCUUGAGUGAAGUAGAGGCAAGCGGAAUUCCGAGUGUAGCGGUGAAAUGCGUAGAUAUUCGGAGGAACACCAGUGGCGAAGGCGGCUUGCUGGGCUUUAACUGACGCUGAGGCUCGAAAGUGUGGGGAGCAAACAGGAUUAGAUACCCUGGUAGUCCACACUGUAAACGAUGAUAGCUAGGUGUGGGGGGUCUGACCCCUUCCGUGCCGGAGUUAACGCAAUAAGCUAUCCACCUGGGGAGUACGACCGCAAGGUUGCAACUCAAAUGAAUUGACGG